GAUGAACGCUAGCGGGAGGCCUAACACAUGCAAGCCGAGCGGUAUUGUUUCUUCGGAAAUGAGAGAGCGGCGUACGGGUGCGGAACACGUGUGCAACCUGCCUUUAUCUGGGGGAUAGCCUUUCGAAAGGAAGAUUAAUACUCCAUAAUAUAUUGAACGGCAUCGUUUAAUAUUGAAAGCUCCGGCGGAUAGAGAUGGGCACGCGCAAGAUUAGCUAGUUGGUGAGGUAACGGCUCACCAAGGCAAUGAUCUUUAGGGGGCCUGAGAGGGUGAUCCCCCACACUGGUACUGAGACACGGACCAGACUCCUACGGGAGGCAGCAGUGAGGAAUAUUGGUCAAUGGGUGCAAGCCUGAACCAGCCAUCCCGCGUGAAGGACGACUGCCCUAUGGGUUGUAAACUUCUUUUGUAUAGGGAUAAACCUUUCCACGUGUGGAAAGCUGAAGGUACUAUACGAAUAAGCACCGGCUAACUCCGUGCCAGCCGCCGCCGUAACAC
rnacentral:rRNA from 1 species